AUGUAGUGGAUAAAAGUUUCCCUAUCCUCGGAUUGGGUACUAAUAGCUAACCAACUGAAUGUUGGGCCCGAGAUCAAGCAAGCUCUCGAGGAGCCAAAGAUAGCAUAAUCAACCAUCUCCUUUUAUCUCCUCGCAUUGGUCACAAUAGGAGGAAUUAAAUAGCCACACCCCGAUGGUUCAGAAAGCUCCUGUGGGGAACCGAUUCGGUGCUACCUUCCAGAUAAAAAGAGCCACUUAUUGCUGAAGCAAAAUGUAAUAAUUGAAAAAAAAGGAUGAUGGAAAAUAAGAAUUUUUCUGUAAGGU
rnacentral:lncRNA from 1 species